rnacentral:lncRNA from 1 species
GUGCUCAGGGCCCCUCAAACUCCGAACAUGGUCAAGUCCAUUCUAGAGGGAAGAUCUCAAGCGAAUCUGAAGGGAGUACAAAAUCUCGAAAGAUAUUGUCGUUGAAGUGCCCAAAUUUUUGGUAGGGUUACUUCUUCUAAGGAAGACAUGGUAGCCUUGUAUGAGGAGGCCCUGAGGGUUGGCCUUAGGCUUCCAAUUCUUGAGAUUUUAUCGAGCUACUGAGGUGAUAUCGGCUCUGCUCUGCCCAACUCAUCCUCAAUGCCGGAUGGACAAUAAUUGAGUCCUUCUACUUUCUCCUACAUUGGGAGAUAUCUCUUCUGUUGGAUUUGUAUCUUAGAAGUCAAUUGUUGGUUGACACAUUAUGUAAUUUCAGGGUCUAAACUUAUACUUGUAAUUCUUUUAUUAUCAAUAAAGAGAUUUUUAAUUACAAUCAUGUUUAUGUAUCCAUGAUUUAUCUUAGAAAUUAACAAAGAUGAUUUUUAUAUAUUCUUAAAGUGUUAAGAAUUUGAAACAUACAUUAAUUAAUGGUUAAUUUCUAAAUAUUUCUGACCAAAAGAUUAUCAUGGAGGACAGUGAUCAAUCUAUUUGAGAUCCGUGCACAGUUCACUUUCCUUGUGAGCAGAUGAGUCUUGGGUCUGCGGUGUAGAGACACUGGGGUGAAGGUGCAGGUAGUUGUUAAAGAAUAACUUGUAUUGAGCGUGAC